AUGUUAUAUAAAUUUAAAUAUACCAAAAGUAGAGGGAAAAAAAAAAAUACACAUAAAAAAAAAAAUUCCUUUUAUAUUUAUGCAAAUGAAAAAGAGAAAUUCAUGUGUAUACCGUUUUUGAUUUGUGCAAAGGAUACUAAUAAAAUAAAUUUAAAUUUUCAAUUAUUUUAUAAAAGUAUGUACAUACAAGAUCAUAUCGAGUAUUCACUUCAUUAUUCGUUGGUUCCAUCUUUAAUGGUUAUGUUUACUCGCAUUAAUGUAUGUAGUGAAAAAAAUAAAGAGGCAAGUAAUAAAGAGAGUAAUAAUGUAUGUGUUUCUCAGAGUGCGAGUAAUAUAUUAAAUGUGGAUAAUAACUAUAACAAUAGUAAUAACAACGUGAAUAACAACGUGAAUAACAACGUGAAUAACAAUGUGAAUAACAAUGUGAAUAACAAUGUGAAUAACAGUGUGAAUAACAAUGUGAAUAACAAUGUGAAUAAAAGUAUGAACAAAAAUGUGAACAAAAAUGUGGAGAAAAAUAGUGAUACAAAUAUGAAUAGCAUUAUGCUCAGCGGACAUAAAGAUAAUAUGAUGGAAGGUACCAAAAACAAAGAAAUGCUUGAAAAAAAAUACUUUGUUAACAACAAAAUAGAUAAUGAUAACUAUAAUCCAAGUUUAAAAGAGAAUGAAGUAUACUAUUAUAUAUACUUAUACAAUAAUAAUGUGAAUAGUAUAUUUAUUAAAAGCAUAACAAACGGUAAUUUUAAUAAGAAAGUAAAAUUGAACAGUAAAAAUACUUAUUGUGAUUUUAUAAAAAUUGAUAGUAAAAAAUAUAUAGAAAUAUUAUAUGAAUAUGAUUAUAAAACAUUUUUUUUCCCUUUUAAUAAAAUACUUAAAAAUAUAAUGUUAAGUAAAAAAAUAAAAAUAUUAGACUAUGAUUUUGAAAGCGUUAAAGAUUUAGCUAAUAAUAAUGAGCAGAAAAAAAGUAAAAUAAAAAUAGAUAUCAUUUAUAAUAAAAUUGUAAAAUGUAAUAAACAUUUUACAAUUGAAUCUGUUAUAACAAAUGAAACAAAUAUUACUGAAGAAGUUAUUAUAUUUUUAUAUGACAAAAAGAGUAAUAGAAGAAAUAAAAAAAAUAAAAAUAACCAACUGGACAAUAAAAUAAAAAACAAAAAUGAUAAAAAUAAAUUCAAAUUAGAUUUAAUGACUAAUAAAAAUAAUAAAAAAAAUCAAGAUUAUAAUACAACAAAAAGUAAAAAAAAUAAAAUUAUUUAUAAUGAACAAAAUAUAUCCGACAACAGUAACUCAGAUUUUUCUUCUUCUUAUUCAACAGACGAUUUGGAAAAUAUAAUUAAUAAUAAAAAUUUUUGUUUAUCAGAUAAUGAUGUCCUAAAUGAAUAUUAUUUAAAAAAAAAAUAUUUUAUCACAGGUUUGAGAAUAAUGAAAAAUAUAUUGUUACCAUACCAAUCUAUUCGAAUAAAAUGGUCAUUUAUUGUUUUUGCAUAUGGUCAUAUACGUUUGCCUAAUGUGUUAGUAAAAAGAAAAACAAAAAUAAAAAACAAUAUUAACGUUUUUUCAUCAGAAAAAAUUGAGCUCUUAGUAAUUUAA
ensembl:lncRNA